rnacentral:lncRNA from 1 species
GCAGGAAUAUAUAAUUACACCAUCAACUGAGAUUGAGGCAGGGAAAUAUACAUUGUCAAUCGGGUUCAGCGGCAAUUUCUCUCUCGACCUUGUUGGCCUGUAUCAGAGUACCUAUGUUGGCGAGAACAAUAAUACUAGAAAUUAUUGGCCAAGAUUCACAAAAAUCUAUUUAAAGAACUGUUAUUCCCCUACCAAUGUCAACCCACAUGUGAGAUGAUAUUUUCGAUGAUGCCUUGUCAAGUGCAAGAAAUUUACCUGAAUAGUAACUAUAACUAACACGGAAACUUGCUGUCGCCGUACUUCCACCGGCAUACGCAAGAAAUGUGUUUCCAUGUCUGGAUGAACCAAAAUUCAAGGCCCAAUUUGACAUCAAACUUGUACAGCCUUCCGGAGAUAAUUAUACCUCAAUUUCUAACAUGAAUGUCAAGGUGAAAUGAAAUAAUUACUUGAUCAAAAAAUAUUGUCACCACUCAUAAGACACUGUGGCCACUAGUCACGGAAAACUGAGGAUUCAGGAUAAAGUAAUAGAAUUGGAAAAAUAGUCGCGGAAGUCAAAGAAAAGUUGAGGAAUUUUUUGACGAGUAUUGCAGUAAAUGAGCCUGCGUCGGGUUUGAAAACAGCGACCUUUGCCACAAGUCCG